rnacentral:rRNA from 1 species
CGGGUGAGUAACACGUGGAUAACCUACCUAUAAGACUGGGAUAACUUCGGGAAACCGGAGCUAAUACCGGAUAAUAUAUUGAACCGCAUGGUUCAAUAGUGAAAGACGGUUUUGCUGUCACUUAUAGAUGGAUCCGCGCUGCAUUAGCUAGUUGGUAAGGUAACGGCUUACCAAGGCAACGAUGCGUAGCCGACCUGAGAGGGUGAUCGGCCACACUGGAACUGAGACACGGUCCAGACUCCUACGGGAGGCAGCAGUCG